UAGAGUAGCCGCCGAGUCGGUGCUUCACAGUUAAACGGGAAACAGGAGGGCCCCUUCGGGACCUAACCUGUGCUGCCCCCGCAACGGU
rnacentral:ncRNA from 2 species